rnacentral:rRNA from 1 species
AUACGUAGGGGGCGAGCGUUGUCCGGAAUGAUUGGGCGUAAAGGGCGCGUAGGCGGCCUGUUAAGUCUGGAGUGAAAGCCCUGUUUUCAAGGGGGGAAUUGCUUUGGAUACUGCCGCGCUUGAGUGCAGGAGAGGUUAUCGGAAUUCCCGGUGUAGCGGUGAAAUGCGUAGAGAUCGGGAGGAACACCAGUGGCGAAGGCGGGUAACUGGACUGCAACUGACGCUGAGGCGCGAAAGUGUGGGGAGCAAACAGGAUUAGAUACCCUGGUAGUCCACACUGUAAACGAUGAAUGCUAGGUGUAAGAGGUAUCGACCCCUUUUGUGCCGGAGUCAACACAAUAAGCAUUCCGCCUGGGGAGUACGGCCGCAAGGUUGAAACUCAAAGGAAUUGACGGGG